rnacentral:rRNA from 1 species
GAUGAACGCUGGCGGCGUGCCUAAUACAUGCAAGUCGAGCGAACAGAUGAGGAGCUUGCUCCUCUGACGUUAGCGGCGGACGGGUGAGUAACACGUGGAUAACCUACCUAUAAGACUGGGAUAACUUCGGGAAACCGGAGCUAAUACCGGAUAAUAUAUUGAACCGCAUGGUUCAAUAGUGAAAGACGGUUUUGCUGUCACUUAUAGAUGGAUCCGCGCCGCAUUAGCUAGUUGGUAAGGUAACGGCUUACCAAGGCGACGAUGCGUAGCCGACCUGAGAGGGUGAUCGGCCUCACUGGAACUGAGACACGGUCCAGACUCCUACGGGAGGCAGCAGUAGGGAAUCUUCCGCAAUGGGCGAAAGCCUGACGGAGCAACGCCGCGUGAGUGAUGAAGGUCUUCGGAUCGUAAAACUCUGUUAUUAGGGAAGAACAAAUGUGUAAGUAACUAUGCACGUCUUGACGGUACCUAAUCAGAAAGCCACGGCUAACUACGUG